rnacentral:rRNA from 1 species
GACGGGGGGGGGCAAGUGUUCUUCGGAAUGGAUGGGCGUAAAGGGCCCGGAGGCGGUGAAUCGGGUUGAAAGUGAAAGUCGCCAAAAAGUGGCGGAAUGCUCUCGAAACCAAUUCACUUGAGUGAGGCAGAGGAGAGUGGAAUUUCGUGUGUAGGGGUGAAAUCCGUAAAUAUACGAAGGAACGCCAAAAGCGAAGGCAGCUCUCUGGGUCCCUACCGACGCUGGGGUGCGAAAGCAUGGGGAGCGAACAGG